rnacentral:lncRNA from 1 species
UCCGAGUACUAUGCCUCAUGCACCAAAUGAUCCAAUUAGCACAACAUCCAAUGCUCUAAAUAUGAUACGUAUUGUGCCAGAUGAUUCAAAUCUAGACUCAGUUGUUUGCGGAUCCAUUGGAUGAUGAGAACUUUAUUGUGGACAAUCCAAAUGAGGCGGCUAACGGUGAUAAUCCGAAAAAAAAUUGCCGCCUCCUCUUGCAGGGAAUGUUCUAGGAAGCA